rnacentral:rRNA from 1 species
UACGUAGGGGGCAAGCGUUGUCCGGAUUUAUUGGGCGUAAAGCGCUCGCAGGUGGUCCGUCGCGUCGUGCGUGAAAGACCCCGGCUCAACUGGGGAGGGUCGUGCGAUACGGGCGGACUGGAGGCCAGUAGGGGGAUGCGGAAUUCCGGGUGUAGUGGUGGAAUGCGUAGAGAUCCGGAGGAACACCAGCGGCGAAGGCGGCAUCCUGGACUGGUCCUGACACUCAGGAGCGACAGCGUGGGGAGCAAACAGG